ACAGACCAUAAACUUUCCCUUUAUUCAACAUGCUGUCAUUAGACUAUAAUCUACUGUCUCUACUGUUUGUCUCUACUCUAACAGGUGUCAGCUGUGAACAACUGACUCCAGUCAAGGAUGAAGAGUUCAGUUCAGAAGGCAGCUCUGUUACUCUGUCCUACACAUACUCCAAAAAAGCUGAUUAUAAUGAUUAUUUCUUCUGGUAUCGACAACAUCCAGGAAAACCACCACAGUUCCUCAUCUCUCAUCUGGCAUCAGGAGAUCUAUCAUCAGAUCCAGUCUCUGGACUGAAUGUUACUGUGAGUCGGGAUCAAACCCAAAUGGAUCUGCAGAUCUCCUCUGCUGCAGUGACAGACUCUGCUGUGUACUACUGUGCUGUGAGGCCCACAGUGACAGGAAACAGCACAACUCUGUACAAAAACACAAGCUGACUCACUGACAAGCUGCUGGAAGCCUUUUUUCCAACAAAGUGCUGAACUCAACUUUUUAGCUCCACUAGAGGGCGACAUUAUGAAGUAGGCGGUGCACUACUUGUGCUCUCUGUUCAAGCAUUGUGUCAAUAAUAACUGCUGCUGUGAAGAGAAGAAUUGUCAGACUCAGUGUUGAACAUCAGCUACUUUCUCCUGUUGCUUU